CCUACGGGCGGCAGCAGUGAGGAAUAUUGGUCAAUGGACGAGAGUCUGAACCAGCCAAGUAGCGUGAAGGAUGACUGCCCUAUGGGUUGUAAACUUCUUUUAUAUGGGAAUAAAAUGUUCCACGUGUGGGAUUUUGUAUGUACCAUAUGAAUAAGGAUCGGCUAACUCCGUGCCAGCAGCCGCGGUAAUACGGAGGAUCCGAGCGUUAUCCGGAUUUAUUGGGUUUAAAGGGAGCGUAGGUGGAUUGUUAAGUCAGGUGUGAAAGUUUGCGGCUCAACCGUAAAAUUGCAGUUGAAACUGGCAGUCUUGAGUACAGUAGAGGUAGGCGGAAUUCGUGGUGUAGCGGUGAAAUGCUUAGAUAUCACGAAGAACUCCGAUUGCGAAGGCAGUUCACUGGACUGCAACUGACACUGAGGCUCGAAAGUGUGGGUAUCAAACAGGAUUAGAUACCCUAGUAGUC
rnacentral:rRNA from 1 species